AUCCGGUUGACGAAUCCCAAAUGGGGCGAAAAGCGCGUCCUGGAU
rnacentral:hammerhead_ribozyme from 1 species